rnacentral:rRNA from 1 species
GAUGAACGCUGGCGGCGUGCUUAACACAUGCAAGUCGAACGGAGGAUGUACGGUGAAGAGAUUUCGGUCAAAUCAUGUGCAUCUUUAGUGGCGGACGGGUGAGUAACGCGUGGGUAACCUGCCUUACACAGGGGGAUAACACUUAGAAAUAGGUGCUAAUACCGCAUGAGCGCACAGGACCGCAUGGUCGAGUGUGAAAAACUGAGGUGGUGUAAGAUGGACCCGCGUCUGAUUAGCUGGUUGGUGAGGUAACGGCCCACCAAGGCGACGAUCAGUAGCCGGCCUGAGAGGGUGGACGGCCACAUUGGGACUGAGACACGGCCCAA